rnacentral:rRNA from 1 species
AACGAACGCUGGCGGCAUGCCUAACACAUGCAAGUCGAACGAGACCUUCGGGUCUAGUGGCGCACGGGUGCGUAACGCGUGGUAACCUGCCCUUAGGUUCGGAAUAACUCCCCGAAAGGGGUGCUAAUACCGGAUAAUGUCUUCGCACCAAAGAUUUAUCGCCUUUGGAUGGGCCCGCGUUGGAUUAGCUAGUUGGUAGGGUAAAAGCCUACCAAGGCGACGAUCCAUAGCUGGUAUGAGAGGAUGAUCAGCCACACUGGGACUGAGACACGGCCCAGACUCCUACGGAAGGGAGGAGAGGGGAAUAUUGGACGAGGGGGGAAAGCCUGAUCCAGCAGUGCCGGGUGAGUGGUGAAGGGCUUAGGGUUGUAAAGCUGUUUUACCCGGGAUGAUAGUGACAGUAACGGGAGAAUAAGCACCGGCUAACUCCGUG